CCGCAUUUCGAGAUUUCCUACUAUAUUUUUCUUUCCCUCACAAUAGCAAUCCAUAUUCUCUCUGAAAUCGCCGCCGCUCAUCAUCGCCGGAACCUGGAGAGUUCGUUGCUUUCGCCCUGCUUUCUACUUCUAACAGAGAUUAAUUAGUAAUCAUGUCAAUCAACUUUGGAGUUGGGAGUACCAGCAGCCUCAGUGAGUCUCCAACAUCAGCAAGUGAGACCAUAGGAGAUCUAUCCAUUGAGGUUGCAGAGAGUCCUAAUCCAAGUAAUGCUAAGCCACCAAAGCCAAACCUGGAAAGAAAACAAAGGUCAGAUGUUUGGAAUCACUAUAGAGUCGAAUACGAUGGUGAUGGUUUAAAGACAUGUCAUUGCAUGUAUUGUGGCCAUAAAUAUCAGAAAGUUUCAAGUAAAUCUGGAAUUGGAAACAUGCUACGUCAUUUGGACAAUUGUCCUAGAAAAAACACAAAGGAUGUUAGUGAAAUUAUAACGGGGGUAAAUCUAAGUUUGAUUCUGACCAUUUUCGUGCGAUGAUAUGUUCUGCUAUAGUUGUUCAUGAUUUGCCAUUUCGAUUCGUAGAAUAUGAACGCAUUGUAGCUUGUUUUGAGUACCUCAAGUCUGAUAUUAAAUUGGUUACUAGAAACACAGUGAAGGCUGAUAUCUUGAAAAUGUAUGAAAGAGAAAAGAUUAGGAUGAAGUCAAAAUUAAGUAAAAUACCUGGUAGAUUGAGUUUGACUUCAGAUUGUUGGAGUUCCAUUACCUCUGAUGGUUAUAUUUCACUAACAUGUCACUUCAUUUAUGAAGAGUGGGUCUUACAAAAGUUUGUGUUGAACUUUUCCUUAAUGCCAUCUCCGCAUACUGGCGCAGCAUUGUCUAACAAGUUAUUUUCUAUGCUUUGUGAUUGGGGAAUUGAAAAUAAAGUGUUUUCUUUAACUUUGGAUAAUGCUAGUGCAAAUGAUUUGUCAGUGGAGUUGUUGCUCACACAAAUGAAUAUGAAUAAUUCACUUUUUUCUAAUGGCGAAUUCUUUCAUAUCCGUUGUUGUGCACAUAUAGUCAAUUUGGUUGUUCAAGAUGGUUUGAAGGAUAUUGAGCAAUUUGUUGUAAAGAUUCGUGAUAGUGUCAAAUAUGUGCGAGGUUCACAAACAAGGAAGAAAAAUUUUCUGGAAUGUGUCAGCAAAGUUGGUUUGGAUCGUAAGAGAGGUUUGAGGCAAGAUGUGACUACUAGGUGGAAUUCAACCUUUUUUAUGCUUGAUAAUGCAUUAUAUUACAAGAAAGCUUUCAUUCAUUUUCAACUAUGAGAUUCCAACUAUAAGUCUUGUCCUUCAUUAGAAGAAUGGGUCAAAAUUGAGAAGAUUCGUGGUUUCUUGAGCUUGUUUUAUGACGUCUCUAAUUUGUUUUCUGGAAGCAGCUACCCUACAUCUAAUCUGUAUUUCCGUCCAGUUGUUAUGUGCUAUAGUUCAUUGAGACAACAUCAAAACAGUUCAGACCCGUACCUCAAAAAAAUGGUUGAAUUGAUGCUACCAAAGUUUGAGAAGUAUUGGUCAGAUUUUAGUAUGGUCUUGACUAUAGUUGUAGUCUUUGAUCCACGCUAUAAGCUUCAAUUUGUGGACUUCUUUUAUAAGAAGCUAUAUGGCCCCAACUCUAGUCAGUUUUCGUUGGUGAAAGAGAAAUUGUUUGCAUUGUUUGAAGAUUAUUGCAAGUUCUACAAUGACAAAUUUGAUAUUGAUAAAAAUGGGAAUUCUACUGCAAGUGGACAGAAUUGUGACUUCACAAAUGCUGAUUCAAUGGCAGUGGUGGAGGAGUUCAAUUAAUUGGAUGUUGAGUUUGGAUUGAGCCAACAAAAAUCCCAAUUAGAGUUGUACAUGGAAGAGAAAAGAUUGGAUGUCAAAUCCAAUCUUGAUAUACUUAACUAUUGGAAAGGAUCACAAUUCAAGUAUCCACAUGUUGCUUGCAUGGCUCGUGACAUUUUGAGCAUUCCCAUAACUACUGUUGCUUCUGAAUCUGUGUUUAAUGUUGGUGGAAGAGUUCUUGACCAAUAUCGUAGUUCACUCAAGCCAAGCAAUGCGGAGGCAAUAAUUUGCACUAGAGAUUGGUUGUUUGGAAAAAAGGUAUUAAAGGAGAAAUACCAACAAAUGACUUAGCCGAGGACUGUUUAAAUGUUGAUGAUGAAGCUCAUUGUGGAAGCUCCACAACCUAAACAGCCUUGACUUUUGCUACUUCUUGAAUGCAUCAAAGGUUAGGGAUUUGAGGUAAUCAAAACAUGUUGCAGAGUGC